AUUCUCAAAGGCAAGUGUUCUAACCCCAUCCUACAGAAGUAUUAGUCUAUGUUCCUAUAUUGAUUCUGAAAGAUUUAUGCUUAGAAUCUGAUAUUUCUCUCUUUGGACAUAAAACCAAGGAUCUGAAAUUUUUUCGGUAAACUGACCCCUAUGCACUGUUUCAGCUAUAAAUUUUAGCACCAAAUGUGGAUUCAGGCAAGACCUAGCUCGUUUGAAAUUAGACUCUUAUAUCUUUCUUUUGACACUGAUUUUAUAGAUUUUGGAUACUGAAUACUUACCCAAACGUCUGUUUCAAAUGAGCCUAUAGAUGCUGCAGAACAGGG
rnacentral:lncRNA from 1 species